rnacentral:rRNA from 1 species
GAAUAACGCUGGCGGUAUGCCUUAUACAUGCAAGUUGAGCGGAAAGGUCUCUUCGGAGAUACUCGAGCAGCGGACGGGUGAGUAAUGUGUAGGAAUCUGCCCCAAAGUUAGGGAUAACUAGGAGAAAUCCUAGCUAAUACCUAAUAUGCCGUAAGGUGAAAGUUUUUCGCUUUGGGAGGAGCCUGCAUCUGAUUAGUUUGUUGGUGAGGUAAUGGCUUACCAAGACUACGAUCAGUAGCUGGUCUGAGAAGAUGAUCAGCCACAAUGGGACUGAGAUACGGCCCAUACUC